rnacentral:rRNA from 1 species
ACUCCUACGGGAGGCAGCAGUGGGGAAUAUUGCGCAAUGGGGGAAACCCUGACGCAGCGACGCCGCGUGAGCGAAGAAGGCCUUAGGGUUGUAAAGCUCUGUUUUAAGGGACGAAUGUCGUGGGGAGUAAUAUGCUCUGCGAAUGACGGUACCUUAAGAGGAAGCCCCGGCUAACUACGUGCCAGCAGCCGCGGUAAGACGUAGGGGGCGAGCGUUGUCCGGAAUUACUGGGCGUAAAGAGCACGUAGGCGGGAACUUAAGUCAGGUGUGAAAGACCGGGGCUCAACUCCGGGGUUGCACUUGAAACUGGGUUUCUUGAGGGCAGGAGAGGAAAGCAGAAUUCCUGGUGUAGCGGUGAAAUGCGUAGAAAUCAGGAGGAAUACCAGUGGCGAAGGCGGCUUUCUGGACUGACCCUGACGCUGAGGUGCGAAAGCGUGGGUAGCAAACAGGAUUAGAUACCCUGGUAGUCCACGCCGUAAACGAUGGAUACUAGGUGUGGGAGGUAUCGACCCCUUCCGUGCCGCAGCUAACGCAAUAAGUAUCCCGCCUGGGGAGUACGGUCGCAAGGCUGAAAC